GGUUGGUCCGAGUGCAGUGGUGUUUACAACUAAUUGAUCACAACCAGUUACAGAUUCCUUUGGUCCUUCUCCACUCCCACCCCCACCUCUUCACUUGACCAGCCUUAA
rnacentral:Y_RNA from 1 species